rnacentral:rRNA from 1 species
AUGCCGUUCGGGCUGACGAAUGCCCCGGCAACCUUCCAGUGCCUCAUGAAUGCAAUCUUCGCCAAGUACGUUCGUAAGUUUGUAAUCAUAUUUCUUGAUGACAUCUUGAUCUUCAGCGAAACCUUGGAAGAGCACCUGGAGCACCUUCGCCUCGUCCUCGCCCUACUCCGGGAGCACCAGCUAUACGCCAAGGAGUCCAAGUGUUCGUUCGCCCAGGACAGCAUCUCCUACCUCGGCCACAUCAUAUCCAAAGAUGGCGUCGCCACGGACCCCGAGAAGACGCAAGCUAUGGUGGCAUGGCAUACCCCAACCAACGCGACUGAGCUUCGCGGCUUCCUCGGCCUCACCGGCUACUAUCGCAAGUUCAUUGCGCACUACGGCAUCAUCGCCAAGCCACUCACGAGCUUGCUGACCAAGAAGGGCUUCGAGUGGACGGAGAAAGCGCAGGUGGCGUUCGAUCUCCUCAAGCGCGCCAUGGUGACCGCGCCCGUGCUCGCGCUUCCAGAUUUCGCGCGCCCGUUC